GCCGGAGUCAGCCCCGCGGUGUCCCACAAUGCUUCGCGGAGUCUCGCCCUUUUGCCUCCCACAAUACCUCGCGGCUCCCGCCGGCUCCGGUCUGGUUGUUGGUCGGGUUGGACUUGACCAGGAGGGCGGCCCAGCGCGUUAUCUGUGCUGUUUUCCUGUGGCACCAACCCCGGGUACCAGACAUGCAAGUGGAGCAUGGACACAUUUGACCAAGAGCUGAACACAGGCAAGCAAGAAUGCUAUAAAUGAUGUUCUGCCUCACCCUGGACCAAGGAAUAAUGUAUCCAAGCAACCAUGGAGUGAAGCCUCUAAAGCAACGAACCAAUCCUCUUCUCCUUU